rnacentral:rRNA from 1 species
GACGAACGCUGGCGGCGUGCCUAAUACAUGCAAGUUGAGCGCUGAAGGUUGGUACUUGUCCCCACUGGAUGAGCAGCGAACGGGUGAGUAACGCGUGGGGAAUCUGCCUUUGAGCGGGGGACAACAUUUGGAAACGAAUGCUAAUACCGCAUAAAAACUUUAAACACAAGUUUUAAGUUUGAAAGAUGCAAUUGCACCACUCAAAGAUGAUCCCGCGUUGUAUUAGCUAGUUGGUGAGGUAAAGGCUCACCAAGGCGAUGAUACAUAGCCGACCUGAGAGGGUGAUCGGCCACAUUGGGACUGAGACACGGCCCAAACUCCUACGGGAGGCAGCAGUAGGGAAUCUUCGGCAAUGGACGAAAGUCUGACCGAGCAACGCCGCGUGAGUGAAGAAGGUUUUCGGAUCGUAAAACUCUGUUGGUAGAGAAGAACGUUGGUAAGAGUGGAAAGCUCAUCAAGUGACGGUAACUACCCAGAAAGGGACGGCUAACUACGUG